rnacentral:misc_RNA from 1 species
AUGAAACCAAGCACUAUACGAAUAGUGAUUGAAACUGCAUAUAUAGUGUAAUUUUUCAUCCUCUGAAAGAUUGCUCGGCUGGUCAAAACAGCACUAAUGAUAACACUCAGACCGGGCUCUGUAAGGACUAUGUCUGAAGCACUACGAGCAGCAUCAGUAGCAUCAGCGACAGCUAUCCCUAUGUCUGCUUUUUUAAGGGCAGGAGCAUCAUUUACUCCAUCGCCAGUCAUUCCACAGAUAUGUUUCCUUGCCUGCAGGCGCUUUACAAUCUCAUAUUUGUG